UGCGGCACGUGCAUAUAAUAUGAUGUUAUUCAGCCUUACAAAGGAAGGAGAUCCUUCCACCAUCUGCAGCACCAAUGAACGUUGGGGGCAUUGGGCUGGGUGAAGUGGGCCAGUCUCAGAAAGAGAGGUGCAGCCUGGUUCCACUUUCAUGAGAAACCUCAAGUAAUCGAAUUCAUAGAAACAGAAAGUAGAAUAGUGGUUUGCAGGGGUUUGGGGUAAGGGCGAGUAGGAAAUUCUUUAAGUGGUAUAGAGUUUCUUUCUGCAAGGUGAGAAAGUUCUGGAGAUUGGUUGUACAGCCAUUUGCAUACUACUGAGGUCCACACUUAGACGUGGUGAAGGUGGAAAAUGUGGGGUGUGUGUGUGUGUGUGUGUGUGUUUUAACCUCAAUUGAAAAACAAGAUUAUGUAGUUUCUGCUCUGCUCACUAUAAAAUUUCCACCAGAGUCCUGAGCUGGGAUGGAAGUGCACCACCUACUCUGAGGUCACCGUGUAGAGGUACCACAUGAAACAGCCCUGACUAUCGGAACAGAGAGAGGCGCCUGGCCAUCCCCCAACUUCUCAGGCAUGACCUGACCACAGCCUCGGGAGAGACACUGCACCAGAGCUGCCCAGCCACAUUCUUCUCAAAUUCCUGAUCAGAGAAGCCUUGAGAGGUGAUGGAGAACUGUUUUUUGAAGCCACGACAAUUGGGCUUAAUCUAUCACACAGCAAUAGGUAGCAAGACAUCUCACCUCAACCUCCAGGUCAAUCCUGACCAUAGGCAGAAAGGAAUUAAGUAGCACUAGCCUGCCACUGUGCAGUGGCUGGUGGUCAAAGCUCUUUCACAUAAGGGCUCUGUGUCACCACGGUGUCCAUUAUAGUCUCUUCCUCCAGGAGAAUGUUUGGUGUAUUGCAAACAUUGUGCACCUUUUUACUAAGUGCCUACUAUGUGUUGAUGACUCUGUUAGAAGUAAAAGAAGUCUAAGGUAAGCUCAUUGCUCUCAGGGAAUGUAAUCCAGAGACAAACAUCGAACAUACAAACAAAGUGUGGUUCAAUGAAAAAAAAGGACCAGGCAUGCUUAGAUAGACUUAACACAGGGGCAUAAUUUCUACUGGAGAGAGUCAUGGCAGGGGUUUCUGAGGAAGUGACAUUUACGUUGAGACUGGAUGAGAAGGCAUUAUUGGGCUUGGGAAGAGUACAGGAAAGAGUAUUUUAAGCCAAGGAAAUAGCCCAUAUGAAGGCCUUGAAGCCAAAAAGAACUUGCUGUGUCAUAUGCUUGAUAAAUAUGUCUUUGCCCGGGCAUGCUGCAGGUCUGCUGCACAGGUCUCUCCUCCUGUUUGAACUAGUGCUACCUGGGAGGUUCUUCUCAUGGCACUGGCAGAAACCCAAGAGGGCAAGCCCAGCUCUACAAACACCUGCUGAGCCCCUGUCUUUCACACCUGUUGUUAUGGUUUGGAUGUGCUUUGUCCCUAAAAGGUUCAUGUGCUCAAGGUUGGAACUCAAGAGGAUGAUAUCGAAAGGUAGUGUGACUUUGAGACGUGGGGCCUGAUGGGAGAUGAUUGGAUCAGGACUGUCCUUGUGUAGGGGUUGAUGCUGGUCUCACAAAGUGCAUUGGUUCUCAGGGAAGCAGAGCAGUCCCAAAAGAGCAGGUUAUUAUAAAGGAAGGCAGCGGUUCCUCCCUGGUGUCUUGUUUCCUUCCUCGCCUUGCGACUUCAUGCUCUUGCUUAUGUUCCUGCCAUGAGGCCUUCACCAGAAGCCCACACCAGGGCUAUGCUCCUGGACCUCAGACUUGGGAGCUAAAUGAAUGCCUUUCUAACGUACCCAGUCUCAGGUAUGCUGUCAUAGCAACAUAAGCCACAAGAAGACACCCACUAACCUCCUAGGGCCAAGCCCACCACCCACUGGGCACAGGAGGCCCCUGCUCUGAUGGAGGGAGAGGAGACCGUGGUGGGUGCUGUGUGUCUGUUGCUUAUCUCAUAGCUUCUACUGGCGUGCCUGUUGCCUGGGCCCUCACUUUCGAUCUGUUCAUUGCCUUUGUGGGUUACCCAGACACCAGCUAAACUGCUCCAGCACCUCGAGCUGGUUGUGCUCCCUCUCCUGCCCCCUCCAACCACUCACACUGGCCAUGUCAAUGCCUUUUUGAUUCUUCAUUCUCAUCUGUCUGCCCCAUUCCACAGCGCUUAACUGCCUUGCCAGCUGUAUCCGGCUAUGACAAGAAGAUCUGAUGAAAAUGUAGGGUGCUGGAAAAAUCAUUUCAUGGAGAUAAAUUAAAGUUGCCGAGGCUGAUUAAAAUGUGGAAGAAGAAUUGAAUUGGAACAGGAUAAUAAAACUCACUUAUCUUAUAGGGUUGCCAUGAAAAUUAGCUAGUCAGUAUUCAUGGCUUGAACACAAAAGAAAAAAUUGUUAUCGAUUUACGUAUAAUGUCUCUGUUGUGUCUUCCAAAAGCCAUCUCAGCUAAUAUAUAACAGAGGAUGGACAAACCAAAUGUUUAGGCUGCAUCCAUCUUGGCUUUUUUUUUUUUUGGCCCAUCAAGGAUGACAUCAGUGGUGGUGAAGAUAGCAACAAUUCUCUUGGCAGCAGGAGGGAAGAGCAGAGAGGGCUGGCUCUGGACCUAGACGUUUUAAAGAAUUGCAGUGUAGCUCGUAAAACACCAUUGCAAGCAUAAAGGAUGGCUCAUUAGAUUUCUGAUGAAAAACUCCAAGGGGCAUCUGCUUCCCUGCUCUGUGCUCGCCCACGCCCGUCACCAUUAGGGACCAUUUUUAGAGUAAAUUAUGGCCUGUUUUCAGUCUGGUUACUCUGGGCCCGCUUGGCUCGGCAGCCAUCUUUCCUCCUGCCCGUCCAUGUCCCCCCCUGCCUUUCAGAGCUUCCUAGCCCUGAGCCCUGAGCAUCCAGAGGUGGACACAGAGAAGCAGGCCUGUGGCCCAUUUGUAGGCCUCUCGAUGGUGAUGCUGGUGAAAGGUUUGAGGGCAAAGCAGGCUGCAUGAUGGCUCUCAGUGGCAGGUCUAGGGACGGGGGCACACCUGCCUCCCUCCGUGCUGACCUUCUCAUUGUCUUUCAGAAGUUGGGGCUUGUGUCAGUCAAAGGCCCUGUGAUGGAGUGAUGGCGGUCACGACCACAAUGGGAUCUAGGGAGUGACUGAUCAGCUCCAUGCAAAGUACUUUGGAGAAACGAUCUCGUUUGGUUCCCAUGGAGACGAUGGAGGUGGGACAUGUGCGGUCCUAAUUUCUCCCCACAAGGUCAUGGCUGAGAGCAGCCAUGGCAACUGUGUGAGAAAGAUCGAGAAGCCUGCUCCUUCUCCAGGACAAGCUGCUCCAUCAUCUCUGCCCCACUGAUGCCUUUCUUUCCUCUGCGCACUCCUCUUCUGGACCCGGGCUUGUAUGGUGGCCCUGUCACACAGGUUCUCGUCUCCCCUCUGUGAAGGGGCCACCAGGGCUCCGGGGCAGCCACUCCCCACCUGCUUGUGCAAUUUCCAUGUGUGUAUUAUGGGUGCUGUCCAUGCAGCAGAGCCUCUGGCCAGCCUCACUCCUGACUCCCAGCAGCUCCGCACCCACUGAGGUCCCACAGUGCCGCAGCUAGGGGGCACCAGCCUUGGAUCCAGCCUGCUAGGGCUCCGUUUCUGCUUCAAUCACUUAUCACCUCUGUGGCCUUGGAAAGUCACGUGACUUCAGCAAGCUUCUGUUUCUUGAGACUGAUAACCGUGCAUGUUGCCUGGAACUGUUGUGAAGGUCAAAUGUUCUCUGUGGACAGGACUUUUGGGUGAGAGGAACCUGGGAAAGCGGCAGGGAAGAUGCAAAGGAAUCCCUGUGUCGCCACUCUGUCCAUUACCAACGUCCAAGGUCAGUGAUGUGAAGCCGUCAAACUAACCAGUGACCACACAUGGAAGAUGGUUUCUCAACUGUGGAUGCCCCAUCAGAGGCCAGCAGCGACCUUCAGCUUGAUCAACUUGCAACCCAUGAAAUCCUAGCUUCCCUGAAGAGGCCACAGAAAGCUUUGAAGCAACUGGGAUACUUGCAUGAUCUGAGAGCAGAAGGCAGAGUUCCUGUGUGUGAGGGUGUUAAGGUGAUCAUUUUGUGCUUAUUUAUAUGCCCAGUUUAAUGAAACUUGCCUAGCACCCAUGUAAAAUUUGCUUCCUGAAUCAGGGCAGGAACUCUGGUUUCUUCUCUGCUUUGGUCCUCGAUGCCGUCCUUAGUGCCCCCUUUAUGUGUGGUUGUCUCCUGAGCAACUGCAUUUCCACAUGUGAAGGGGCAAUUUGAAGUUUGGUCACACUUCUUGCCUCCUAGAAAUCUGGGUCAGAUUUGUCAUUCAUAAGUAGCACCUGAA